UACAGAGGGGGCAAGCGUUGUUCGGAAUUACUGGGCGUAAAGGGCGCGUAGGCGGCCUGCUAAGUCGAACGUGAAAUCCCUGGGCUCAACCCAGGAACUGCGUCCGAUACUGGUUGGCUUGAAUCCGGGAGAGGGAUGUGGAAUUCCAGGUGUAGCGGUGAAAUGCGUAGGUAUCUGGAGGAACACCGGUGGCGAAGGCGACAUCCUGGACCGGUAUUGACGCUGAGGCGCGAAAGCCAGGGGAGCAAACGGG
rnacentral:rRNA from 1 species